GAGUGAUGCUGGGACUCCGAUUUUUUACUAUAAAAUGUAUAUCAAACAAACCAAUGAUUGCACAUUGUUAAAAGUAGUCAUUGUGCCUAUAGUUGUCUGAUUUGUUUCACUUUGAAAUCAUUGGUUUUGGUUAGACAUACAUUUUAAAGUGAAACAUCUGAGUGUCAGCAUCCCUCUGUUACAGUGGAAAUGCUCUACAGCUCGACUCAGUCCAGUCCCAAAUCUUGUUAUCACUUAUUUGGAUAAAUGAUUAACCACAGUUUCAUCUUUUGAUACAGUCACAGCGGUCUUAAUGGAUGUUGAAACAUUUGAACUCCAAUUGAACUCUUUGUGACAUCAUUUCCUGAGUUAUCUUGUUUUCCUCUCUCUCACUCCAGUUCUCAUGAGACAGGCCAGUGUGUGUAGAGAGAACACAUUUGACCAGGUGGAGUCAGGCUUCUACUUCAUCGCCCUGGACCACUACACCAAUGACUCAGAGGACCUCAAGUUUGGAGCAGGGAGUCACAAACUAAUCGUAUGCCUUACGCAACUUGGCACAAAUUAUGCUGAUGCCCCACUGUAAAAACCUGGAGAUAUUCACUGGUUCUGAGGGAGGUGAUGUGACCACAAACAGUGCCUAGGAGACCUUCCAGCACUAACACUGUCUAGAGAACAGCCAGAGGGUGGACAAGACAUCUGCAACUUCAUCUUUAGUGGGUCAGCUCUGUUGCACCUGGGAGAUAACGAUGUCUCCGGCUUGCUGAUAACAUCUGAUCUGAUGAGACUCUUUAUGCGAUUUGACUCUUCUAUUACUGACUCAAUUAAACUGUGUCAAAUAUAAAAAAUAAGAACACAUCAAUUAAGGAUUCUGUAAUUCAUAGAUAAUGGUUGUCCCAAAUCAGACAAUUACUAUAAAAAAAGCAGUUUUCCUCUGUGCAAUGUUUGGUGAAUACAUGGUGUUGUUUUGUUCUCAGUCCUUCUCAGUCCUGUGAAUGCUGCGUGUACUGAUUCAGUUCUAAAUGACCAUCAUUGAGUCAAUCCUCGCCACACUGCAACAGAUUGUCCGGUCCGCAGAGAGGGUCAUUGGCUGCCUCCUGCCCGCCAUCGAGGUCCUGCAUGACUCCCCUCUUCCAAAGACUCCUCUGGCAAAUGGUUCAGGUCAAUCACAACCAAAACCUCCCGCCACCUGAACAGUUUCUUCUCCCGUGCCGUGGCCUCACCAAUCAUCUACGAUGAUCCUCUCAUCCCAUGGACUUUGCACUCUGCAUCCACAGACUAUGCACCCUGCACUGCACAUUGCUCUUUGCACAUCUCUUAUAUGAAUAAUAUAGCUUUUUUUUUACGUCUUAGUCAUUUAGCAGACACCUUUAUUGAGUUUACAUAUUCUAUGUGGAUCUGUGAAAAUGUUGCAUCUAUAUAUAUAUUUUUUAUCUGUAUAUUCUGUUUAUCGUCUGUAUAUUCUGCUUAUUGUGGCAGGACCAUUUCACAGAGUAAAAUUCCUGUGCAUGCAAACGUAUUUGGCCAAUAAAUCUGACUCGGACUUGUUAACCUUAGUUUAGCUGGUAUAUCAUGUCAGUUUACAUUCUAUUAUUUGGGACUGGUUAUGUACUGGAUGAACUGUAGCAGCUAGCAGAUUCUCCCCUUUGUGUCUUCAUAUACUUCAAAAUUCCCCAUCUGCUGUGUGUGUGUGUGUGUGUGUGUGUGUGUGUGUGUGUGUGUGUGUGUGUGUGUGUGUGUGUGUGUGUGUGUGUGUGUGUGUGUGUGUGUGUGUGUGUGUGUGUGUGUGUG